rnacentral:rRNA from 1 species
AGAGUUUGAUCAUGGCUCAGAACGAACGCUGGUGGCGUGCAUAACACAUGCAAGUCAACCAACAUAAUUUUAGCUAGAUCGGAAAAAAAGAGGGGCACGGGGGAGAAACACGCGGGGAAUCUCCCUUCCGGUACUGUAGAUAACUCCCCGAAAACGCAGGGAAAAUCCCGAGAAAACAGCUCCUGCAGCUUCGGAGACUUGUGAGAAAUCCUGGGGGCAGCCUGGAAAUGAGCCGGCGGGCCAUGUAGGCCGCUGGCGUAUAAAUAGUGGACCAGGCC